AGAGUUUGAUCCUGGCUCAGAACGAACGCUGGCGGCGUGCUUAACACAUGCAAGUCGAACGUGAUCCAGAGCUUGCUCUGGUGAAAGUGGCGCACGGGUGAGUAACGCGUGGAUAACCUGCCCUGGUAUCUGGGAUAACAUCUCGAAAGGGGUGCUAAUACCGGAUAAGCCUACGGGGUCCUCGGACUCUGCAGGAAAAGGUGGCCUCUAUUUAUAAGCUACCGUAUCAGGAUGGGUCCGCGUACCAUUAGCUAGUUGGUGGGGUAAUGGCCCACCAAGGCGACGAUGGUUAGCUGGUCUGAGAGGAUGAUCAGCCACACUGGAACUGAGACACGGUCCAGACUCCUACGGGAGGCAGCAGUGGGGAAUUUUGCGCAAUGGGGGAAACCCUGACGCAGCAACGCCGCGUGAGUGAUGAAGGCUUUCGGGUCGUAAAGCUCUGUCAGAGGGGAAGAAAUGAGCCUGGCUAAUAUCCAGGUUUCUUGACGGUACCCUCAAAGGAAGCACCGGCUAACUCCGUGCCAGCAGCCGCGGUAA
rnacentral:rRNA from 1 species